rnacentral:misc_RNA from 1 species
GAACUGCGAUAAGUGAUGUGAAUUGCAGACGUAUACGAAUCAUCGAACCCUUGAACGCAUUCUGCGCCUCGAAGCUUGUCUUCGAGGCAUAUCUGGGUGAGUGUCGGUUUAACCUUCUUGCAUAAAUUAAUUAUGCAGUUGUUGAUAGUAAAUCUCUAAAAGUAACCAACGGGGGGUUCGCCCCGAUAACUUGCGGCGAAAUUUUGAUUUUCUAUUAAAAUAAAUCGAUACUCUUGAUUGGAUUCUUUGGGAAUAGAGCAAUCCUCUUCUGAUUGGUUUGAAGUAACUCGUUACUAAUGGUCAUUCUGAAAUGGAUUGUAUUCUUAACCUGAAAAAUCGUAGUCGAAUGGGUACAUGUUGCGUUAAGAAUCUGAUUCUUAAUCAAUCAAACCUUCGACCU